GCAUUUUCGAGCCAAAAGUGUGAAACGGUUUGCGUUGGAAAAUGCGACAAAACAAAUAGUUAGAGCGGUUCCGGCGAUUCUGUUAAAAUAGAAACCGCUCUAGCGCG
rnacentral:misc_RNA from 1 species